UCAAGACUAAGCCAUGCAUGUCUAAGUAUAAACGCUUCUAUACUGUGAAACUGCGAAUGGCUCAUUAAAUCAGUUAUAGUUUAUUUGAUGGUUCCUUACUACUUGGAUAACCGUAGUAAUUCUAGAGCUAAUACAUGCAGAAAGUCCCGACUUCUUGGAAGGGAUGUAUUUAUUAGAUCCAAAACCAGCGCGAGUUUCCUUCGGGGGCUCGGUUGCAUGGUGAUUCAUGAUAACUGCUCGAAUCGCAUGGCCUUGCGCCGGCGAUGAUCCAUUCAAAUUUCUGCCCUAUCAACUUUCGAUGGCAAGGUAGUGGCUUGCCAUGGUGACAACGGGUGACGGAGAAUUAGGGUUCGAUUCCGGAGAGGGAGCCUGAGAAACGGCUACCACAUCCAAGGAAGGCAGCAGGCGCGCAAAUUACCCAAUCCCGACUCGGGGAGGUAGUGACAAUAAAUAACAAUGCUGGGCUAUCGUAGUCUGGCAAUUGGAAUGAGUACAAUCUAAACCCCUUAACGAGGAACAAUUGGAGGGCAAGUCUGGUGCCAGCAGCCGCGGUAAUUCCAGCUCCAAUAGCGUAUAUUAAAGUUGUUGCAGUUAAAAAGCUCGUAGUUGGAUUUCGGGGCAGCCCGGCUGGUCCGUCGCGAGGCGAGUACUGGUCGGCCGCCCUUCCUCUCGAAAGCCCCGACUGCUCUUCACUGCAGUGGUCGGGGAGUUCGGGACGUUUACUUUGAAAAAAUUAGAGUGUUCAAGGCAGGCCAUCGCCUGAAUACAUUAGCAUGGAAUAAUGGAAGAGGACCUCGGUCCUAUUUUGUUGGUUUCUAGGGCCGAAGUAAUGAUUAAGAGGGACAGUUGGGGGCAUUCGUAUUUAAUUGUCAGAGGUGAAAUUCUCGGAUUUAUGAAAGACGAACAACUGCGAAAGCAUUUGCCAAGGAUGUUUUCAUUAAUCAAGAACGAAAGUUAGGGGUUCGA
rnacentral:rRNA from 1 species